UUCCAGACUCCUACGGGAGGCAGCAGUGAGGAAUAUUGGUCAAUGGGCGAGAGCCUGAACCAGCCAAGUCGCGUGAGGGAAGACGGUCCUAUGGAUUGUAAACCUCUUUUGUCGGGGAGCAAAAAGGCCUCGUGAGGCCACAAGUGAGAGUACCCGGAGAAAAAGCAUCGGCUAACUCCGUGCCAGCAGCCGCGGUAAUACGGAGGAUGCGAGCGUUAUCCGGAUUUAUUGGGUUUAAAGGGUGCGUAGGCGGAAUGCCAAGUCAGCGGUAAAAUCGCGGGGCUCAACCUCGCUCCGCCGUUGAAACUGGCGUUCUUGAGUGGGCGAGAAGUAUGCGGAAUGCGUGGUGUAGCGGUGAAAUGCAUAGAUAUCACGCAGAACUCCGAUUGCGAAGGCAGCAUACCGGCGCCCAACUGACGCUGAAGCACGAAAGCGUGGGUAUCGAACAGGAUUAGAUACCCGAGUA
rnacentral:rRNA from 1 species